GGGAGAGAUAACGGUCAUAUUGACAGAGGAGUCAGGAGAUCUGAUUACCACCAGAGAGAGACCAGACUCUGACAGCAGGAAGAGUUCCUCAGGGGAAACAGACCCAGAGACGCCUAACCAACACCACUGCUCCCACUGUGGAAAGAGUUUUAGGUGGUUUGGGAGCCUGAAAAUGCAUGAGAGAACACAUACAGGAGAAAAGCCCUACCACUGUUCCCACUGUGGAAAGAAUUUUACUCAGUUAGGGGCCCUGGUUGGACAUGAGAGAACACACACGGGAGAGAAGCCUUAUCACUGUUCUCACUGUGGAAACAGUUUUAGGUGGUUAUGGGUCCUGAAAAAGCAUGAGAGAAUACACACGGGAGAGAAACCUUAUCACUGUUCUCACUGUGGAAACAGUUUUAGGUGGUUAGUGAGCCUGAAAACGCAUGAGAGAAUACACACAGGAGAAAAGCCUUUCCAAUGUUCCCAGUGUGAAAAGAGUUUUAGGUGGUCGGGGAGUCUGAAAAAGCAUGCGAGAAAACACACAGGAGAAAAGCCUUUCCAACAUACUAAUACACAGGAGGAGAAGACAUACCACUGCUCUCAUUGUGGAAAGACAUUUUCCCAGUCAGAGGACCUGAAAUCACACGAGAGAAUAGAGAGGCUGUGUUCUGACUUGUGUUUCUGACUGAGAAUUUGUCCACGGCCAGGAUUCAUAGGGCCAGGGUGUCCGCUAUGGACGCCUGGAAAAAAUCAGCAGUGGACAUUUCUGAACGUUUAUCCAACAGACCUGUACAUCCAUGAAUGGAUCUCUAUAAUGUGUAACUAUUUCUGAUGUAUGUGUUGUGAUGUAUUGUUUAAUAGAUGUACUAUGUUAGGUAUAUUUAUCUGUGGUUUAAUUUCAACAGAUUUUACUGAUGCUAUUAGAUUGCUGUGUGGGGGGAGUUUUAUAUAUACAGUGCCUUCAGAAAGUAUUCACACCC